UACCGAUAGCGACAAAUUAAUAUAAUUUACCGUUUCCGAGUACAAAACCGUGAUUUGGAGCCGCCUGCCCACCGCUCCCGGGCCAGGGGGCGCGGGGCUCCCGCGGGUGUCCCCCCCCCCGGUGCCCAGCGCGAAAAGUGCGCGGGGAGCCCCCUCCGACCGCGAUUUGGGGCCGGGGGAGGGCAGGAGCGGGGGACAGCAGCUCCGGGGGGCUCAGAGGAAGGCGGGGAAGGCGGCGGGGGGCGCGGGGGCGGCGGGGCAGGGCGAGCCCCAGGGCCCGGGGGAGGCGGCGGGGGGCGGCGGCGGCGGGGGGGGCUCGGGCAGGCUCUGCUCGGCCAGGCGCAGGCUCUGCGUGAGCGCCCAGAUGUAGUUGUGCGCGAAGCGGAGCGUCUCGAUCUUGGUGAGCUUGGCGUCGUCGGGGAAGGUGGGCAGGACGCUGCGGAGCGCGUCCAGGGCGGAGUUGAGGUGGUGCAUGCGGUUCCUCUCCCGGUCGUUGGCUUUCAUCCGCCGGCUGCGCUUCUGCUUGCCCAGCAGCCCCUCGCUGCGCGCCUUCCCGCGGCCCCUCCGCGCCUUCCCCUUCCUGCGCGCCGGGGACGCGCCCCGGCUGCCCGCACCCGCACCCGCACCCGCGGGGCCGCCGGCGGCCGGGGAGGGGGCGGCGGGGGCGGCGGCGGGGGGGCCGCCGAAAUAGGGCUGCCCUUCGCCCGGGGGGCACUGGCUCUGCGGGGCCAUCCUGCAAAGCCAAGCCCCGCGGUAAGGCUCGGGGGGAGCCGGCCCCGCGGCCCCCUCUGCGCGGCCCCGGCGGCGGCUUUACCUGCGCGCCCCGGGGGGAGGCUGCGGGGAAGGAGAGGGGCCUCGGUUCCCCUUCUCCCGUGCCGAGCCGAGCCGUGCCGAGCCGUCGAGCGCGGGCAGGACAGGUUGCGCGGCCGGCACACGACUGCCGUUAGGCCCCUAUAUAUAGGGCCGGCAGACAAUGGGGAUUUCCCGGCCGGGCAGCGUGUGCGCCCCCCCGCCCGCAC
rnacentral:lncRNA from 1 species